AGCAGCCGCGGUAAUUCCAGCUCCAAUAGCGUAUAUUAAAGUUGUUGCAGUUAAAAAGCUCGUAGUUGAAUUUCGGGAUUCGUUCAUUGGUCAGGCUUAACUGUCUGUACUGAUGUGUCGGAUUUCUACCUUCUGAAGAACCUUCAUGUCAUUAAUUUGGUGUGUUGGGGAAUCAGGACUGUUACUUUGAAAAAUUAGAGUGUUUAAAGCAGGCUAACGUCUGAAUACAUUAGCAUGGAAUAAUGAAAUAGGACGGUACGGUUCUAUUUUGUUGGUUUCUAGGAUCGCCGUAAUGAUUAAUAGGGAUAGUUGGGGGCAUUAGUAUUCAAUUGUCAGAGGUGAAAUUCUUGGAUUUAUUGAAGACUAACUACUGCGAAAGCAUUUGCCAAGGAUGUUUUCAUUAAUCAAGAACGAAAGUUAGGGGAUCGAAGACGAUCAGAUACCGUCGUA
rnacentral:rRNA from 1 species